GGCCAGUUAGCUCAGUGGUUAGAGCGUCGUGCUAAUAACGCGAAGGUCGCGUGUUCCAUACCCGUACUGGCCA